GACGAACGCUGGCGGCGUGCUUAACACAUGCAAGUCGAACGAAGUGGCGAACGGGUGAGUAAUACGUGAGUAACCUGCCCUCCUUUUUGGGAUAAGCCUUGGAAACGGGGUCUAAUACCGAAUAAAGGGGGAUGGGCUAGCGGCCUAUCGGGUUGUUGGGGGGGUGAUGGCCUACCAAGGCGGUGACGGGUAGCCGGCCUGAGAGGGUGACCGGCCACAUUGGGAGUUAGAUACGGCCCGGACUCCUACGGGAGGCAGCAGUGGGGGAUAUUGCACAAGGGGCGAAAGCCUGAUGCAGCGACGCCGCGUGAGUGAUGACGGCCUUCGGGUUGUAAAGCGCUGUUAAUCGGGACGCGGUACCGGAAUAGAAAGCCACGGCUAACGACGUGCCAGCAGCCGCGGUAAUAC
rnacentral:rRNA from 1 species